rnacentral:lncRNA from 10 species
UGGGGGCCUAUGGAGGUCGCUGUAGACUUGGGGUGCAGCACGGGCGGGGCAAGGGGACGCGAGGUUGCCCUUGGCCCCAGGGGAGAGGGGCCCCUGGGAGGCCGUGUGGAGGAUUUGUCUGCAGCGAUUAGGACUCUGCUGAUGAAUGAUUUGGAUGCCUUUGGACUCAUUCUGAUGAAGGAAAGAGCGUCCCUGUGCAGCUGCGUGUCCUUCAGUUCUUUGGCUCUGAUUCCGUGUCUGGCUUCAUCUAAGUGGCCUGGUCCAUGGGCAGUGAAGAAAUGUAAAGUGCAAUAGCCCUCUGGAACAAGACAAUUCAUGUGAGAUAAGAAAGAAGAGCCCACAAGACCAAGGAUGUAUUCUCAGUUUACAGACCACUGACCAGAGGCCACUCCAGGGUGUCAGGACUAAGAGAAGUCACAAAACAGCAGAUUUCCCAAGAGCAGCGGAAAAUGAUCCAGUCACAGGACCUAAGUGUGAAACAGGCUACCUCAUCAUGGACCCCAAUAGGUCAGACUUUGACGGGCCGUGACAAUAACCAGGUAAAUCGUCUGAGGCAACAGCAGACCAUGGCUAUGACGCCACUCCAAGCAGGAUGGUCGGGCCCGGAGGACUGAACAUGGCCUCAGCAGUCACCUCGGCAGUUGCCAUGCCAGGAAAGACGCCCCACAGCCCACUGGAGAGACAGAAGAAUCUGUGUGAAUCUUCUUUACCUGGCCUGAGGCAUCAAUUCAGGCACAGCAGAACACUGGCCAGGAAACUGAACGUGACCUGAAUGUCUUCCAGGCUGAGACAGGUCCUGAGUGCAAUCCCAGAGGGCACACGUGGUCCCCUAGAAACAACGAAUUCACAAGGUCAGGUGCCCCAGCCGGGCACGCACGCCUCAGGUUGUGAGGUUAACAGGGAUCCAAGGUGGCUUCCCAUCGUCGGGCCUCUGUCCAGUCUGGAUCAUUGGGUUUAGGCCUUGACUUCAGAGGGCCUGCCUGGGACUGAGUUCCAAACCAUUCUGUUUAUCCAUGACAUGAGUUUGUUAGUCCCACCUUAUCAAGUGUGGACAGUCUCUGGAGGAGUUCUGCACAGAGCCCAGGAGCCAAGGCAGUCCUCUGCCUCUCCUCGUCAGCACCGUGAGGAAGCCGAGGUGUGGGCUCAGCAGACGGUCCAAGUCCACAGCCGCCACAGUCCAUGGAAAGGCAGCAAGAGGACCUCUUGUGUUUGGUUUUUUAGGAGGAGGAGAAAGCUUUUAGGAGCAGGUCUGAAAAAUAAAGAUCAUUAUUAUUUUUUCCCUUUCCCUGAGCCUCCCAGAUGCCAGUUUUGUUUUGUUUUUCUGUUACCUGUGUGUCCCAUGUAGUAAUCAAAAC